UACGAAGGGGGCUAGCGUUGUUCGGAAUUACUGGGCGUAAAGCGCGUGUAGGCGGGUCCUUAAGUCAGGGGUGAAAUGCCAAGGCUCAACCUUGGAACUGCCUUUGAUACUGGGGAUCUUGAGUCCGGGAGAGGUGAGUGGAACUGCGAGUGUAGAGGUGAAAUUCGUAGAUAUUCGCAAGAACACCAGUGGCGAAGGCGGCUCACUGGCCCGGAACUGACGCUGAUGAGCGAAAGCCAGGGGAGCAAACGGG
rnacentral:rRNA from 1 species